UUGGAUUCGAAGUGCUUGGGAACUAUAUUC
rnacentral:piRNA from 1 species